GAAGCGUCUGGAAAGGCGCGCGAUACAGGGUGACAGCCCCGUACACAAAAAUGCACAUGCUGUGAGCUCGAUGAGUAGGGCGGGACACGUGGUAUCCUGUCUGAAUAUGGGGGGACCAUCCUCCAAGGCUAAAUACUCCUGACUGACCGAUAGUGAACCAGUACCGUGAGGGAAAGGCGAAAAGAACCCCGGCGAGGGGAGUGAAAAAGAACCUGAAACCGUGUACGUACAAGCAGUGGGAGCACGCUUAGGCGUGUGACUGCGUACCUUUUGUAUAAUGGGUCAGCGACUUAUAUUCUGUAGCAAGGUUAACCGAAUAGGGGAGCCGAAGGGAAACCGAGUCUUAACUGGGCGUUAAGUUGCAGGGUAUAGACCCGAAACCCGGUGAUCUAGCCAUGGGCAGGUUGAAGGUUGGGUAACACUAACUGGAGGACCGAACCGACUAAUGUUGAAAAAUUAGCGGAUGACUUGUGGCUGGGGGUGAAAGGCCAAUCAAACCGGGAGAUAGCUGGUUCUCCCCGAAAGCUAUUUAGGUAGCGCCUCGUGAAUUCAUCUCCGGGGGUAGAGCACUGUUUCGGCAAGGGGGUCAUCCCGACUUACCAACCCGAUGCAAACUGCGAAUACCGGAGAAUGUUAUCACGGGAGACACACGGCGGGUGCUAACGUCCGUCGUGAAGAGGGAAACAACCCAGACCGCCAGCUAAGGUCCCAAAGUCAUGGUUAAGUGGGAAACGAUGUGGGAAGGCCCAGACAGCCAGGAUGUUGGCUUAGAAGCAGCCAUCAUUUAAAGAAAGCGUAAUAGCUCACUGGUCGAGUCGGCCUGCGCGGAAGAUGUAACGGGGCUAAACCAUGCACCGAAGCUGCGGCAGCGACGCUGAUGCGUUGUUGGGUAGGGGAGCGUUCUGUAAGCCUGCGAAGGUGUGCUGUGAGGCAUGCUGGAGGUAUCAGAAGUGCGAAUGCUGACAUAAGUAACGAUAAAGCGGGUGAAAAGCCCGCUCGCCGGAAGACCAAGGGUUCCUGUCCAACGUUAAUCGGGGCAGGGUGAGUCGACCCCUAAGGCGAGGCCGAAAGGCGUAGUCGAUGGGAAACAGGUUAAUAUUCCUGUACUUGGUGUUACUGCGAAGGGGGG
rnacentral:rRNA from 1 species